AGCACAAACAACUGUACGAGUACUCGCUAAUGGCGGACGGUGGAGGUGGUGUUCCUGUCGCAUUUGUGAUUUCACACUAAAGGAAUCGGCGCUGGAUUGUUACACAACUGUUGCACCAGUGAAGGAUGUCUGUGUGCCGCCUUGCAUUCAGUUUCUCAGUCAUGGGGGCCUGCUUGCAACACCAGUGGCAAAGCAGUCUUGCAUUGUGCUAUUUGUUCUGGAAGGACACAAGCAUUGAGGAGCCAUUUGACCUGCCACUACACUGAUACGGUAUUUGGUAGGUUCUAUUACAGGUUUUCUUUCGUGUAGUAGUACCUGCUAUAAUUCUGUAUAACGUGUUCAGACCUUUAGUCAGCAGGCUGUUUGACAACAGGUGUUUACAAAUGAAUAACUAACAAGAUUUUCAAGGUCAUUAGUGAUGCAAUCGUUGCACACUGCUGCAUUUUUCUGCAAAUUAAUUGAUGAGCCAUCCAGCAAGUGCUGCUCUCCUGCCUUAAUGCACAAACCUUCAAAUACUGUAAACCCUAUAUCACAAGUGUACAGCAAAUGGAGAUGAAUGUUCACAGCGACAAGUUCAUAAUGUUUACUUACAUGCAAAAGGGAGUCAAAUGUCAGGUACACAUUUGAAGUUUUCCAAAACAAGUUCAUCAUCAUAGUGCAUAAAUGAACAAGUAACUUAGCGCAAUAAAAAUACACAGGCACAAGAAAGGGAGACAAAGACAAGCGCUUGGUGACUCAGAAGUGUGUGACAUAUAUGUUCCAACCAAUUAUUAUUUUCUAAAUUUUCUUCUACCGAUCCAGGAUUCCUGUGACUACUUGCCUUAGGUAACAUACUCUGUUGCCUUCUUGCCCUAGAAAACAUAACUAGUGCCUUGCAGCCCUUUAAACUGGCAACAUCUUCACCACCGACAGUAGAGCAUGUUCAAAUAAAUUCAACUAGACAUGCCUGGUGACCACUUAAUUUUGGUGAACAAAUUUUAUUUUGUGCCCGACCCUGACGACAAUGAAAUCAAUGAUAUCUUCUAUUUUGUUGCAGCGCAAGCUGAAUGACAAGGACAACAAAAAGGCAAAUUUGACGCACAGCCAGCGUUAACGUUCAACAACAGAUUCGUUUCCAGUUCUCAUCACUAUAUAUACCCUGAAAACGUCAUACAACACGUGUAAAAGCUCGGUAAACAUGAACUAAAAAAAACUGGAACCACAGGCAUGCAGUUUUUUAGCCACAUAGAUUGACAUACAUGUAGACGUUUAACGCGAACAAAGAUCGCAUCAUCUUCCACCUGCUUCUACUCAUGAUAACUGUUUUUUUUUUAAUCUAGGUUUGCGCUUGCAUCUUUAACAAUGAAGGGCAAGAAAACCAUCAGCAGCCAGGUAUUUACUUUGUUAUUGUGUUCUCGUAGCCUGUCAUUUACACAUCUACCAGUUUGACCAAUGUAGGACCGUCCACACUCAAAGGAAUGUCGUAUAAAACACACGUGAUGCAAUCAAUGAAUUUGUUUUUAUGUUCAUUUUCGCAUGCAGUAUCCGCAAUUCUUUCUGGCUUUGUCUUCCUACACAGGCUCCCCAAUUUAUUAGGAGCUGAAAAAACUAUGUUGAUAUCAGACCUUCCAGCAAUCUUUAUUCUGUGGGAGAAACUAUGUAUGUAGGGGAUGACAGCAACCUUUCUUUAUGUCGGUGUUUGUACCAUUCACCUUGCUCGGAACCUUUUUUCACUUGGCUCGGGUAACCAGCGCCGCUUAAACGUGAGACUUGCCAUCUGAAGCUAUUGUGCAUUAGGUGCCGGCAUGGCUUCUUGAG